rnacentral:rRNA from 1 species
UGGGGAAUCUUGCACAAUGGGCGCAAGCCUGAUGCAGCAACGCCGCGUGCGGGAAGACGGCCCUAGGGUUGUAAACCGCUUUCAGGAGGGAAGAAAAUUGACGGUACCUGCAGAAGAAGAUGCGGCCAACUACGUGCCAGCAGCCGCGGUGACACGUAGGCAUCAAGCGUUAUCCGGAUUUAUUGGGCGUAAAGAGCUCGUAGGCGGUUCGGUAAGUCGGGUGUGAAAACUCUGGGCUCAACCCAGAGAGGCCACUCGAUACUGCUGUGACUAGAGUGCGGUAGGGGAGCGGGGAAUUCCUGGUGUAGCGGUGAAAUGCGCAGAUAUCAGGAGGGAACACCCAGUGGCGAAGGCGCCGCUCUGGGCCGUAACUGACGCUGAGGAGCGAAAGCAUGGGUAGCAAACAGGAUUAGAUA